CUAGCCGCGUGAGUGAAGAAGGCUUCGGGUUGUAAAGCUCGUUUCGGACCGGGAAGAAAUCGUGGUCUCUAACAUAGGCCAUGGAUGACGGUACCGGACUAAGAAGCACCGGCUAACUACGUGCCAGCAGCCGCGGUAAUAGUAGGUGCGAGCGUUAAUCGGAAGUUACUGGGCGUAAAGCGUGCGCAGGCGGUUUUGUAAGACAGAUGUGAAAUCCCCCGGGCUUAACCUGGGAACUGCGUUUGUGACUGCAAGGCUAGAGUACGGCAGAGGGGGGUGGAAUUCCUGGUGUAGCAGUGAAAUGCGUAGAGAUCAGGAGGAACACCGAUGGCGAAGGCAGCCCCCUGGGCCUGUACUGACGCUCAUGCACGAAAAGCGUGGGGAGCAAACAGGAUUAGAUACCCUGGUAGUCCACGCCCUAAACGAUGUCGACUAGUCGUUCGGAGCAGCAAUGCACUGAGUGACGCAGCUAACGCGUGAAGUCGACCGCCUGGGGGAGUACGGCCGCAAGGUUAAAACUCAAAGGAAUUGACGGGGAC
rnacentral:rRNA from 1 species